CAGAACUCUGGCUGUGACAUUGUGCAGUAUAUAGGUCACAUCACAGACAGAGUUCUAGUU
rnacentral:pre_miRNA from 1 species